rnacentral:lncRNA from 1 species
UUGAAUUGGGUAAUUUAGAAGCAUAUUUAAAGUACUUUGGGACAUUUUGUAUUUAUAAUGACAAAUAUAAGCGAUGUAGAUUCGGAUUUUGGGGUAGCUUUUGGUUAUUUUUAAUAACAACCAUUGUAUAUAAUAAUUUACAGGUUAACUUUACAUUAUUUUUUUCAUAGUUGUAUUGGUGGGGUUAUUAUGGGUUAUUCUUAAUAAUGUAGAUAUGGGUAAUUUAGAUACAACCGUAGGAUGCUAUUUUUUAUAAUAACAUAGGUGUUUAAUUUAGAUGGAGAUCAUGUGUUACUUUAGGUUAUUUGUCAAAGGUCAUAAUUUUUUUAAAAGUAAAAUAUACCGAAUGACUAUUGUUGAUUUUUAUUAAUGUCUAUAAAAUUGUUGGAUGAAUGUUUUACCCUUCUGUGGGAAUUUCUAAUUAUUUUUUCUAGUAUACCUCAUGAGAAUUAACAUAGGCUUCAGAAAAGUCUCCAAUUAGUAAUACUUAGUGAUUUUGUGAGAUAAAUGCAUAGUGGAUAUAUAUGUGAUAAUUGGUUGGAUUUUGAAGAUUUAAGAUGUGGUGCAGGUGCACCGUUUUAGUAUUUAUAGUUUUCGAAUACUAAUGCAUUUUUAUUUUUAAUAUAGAAAUAUAACUUCUCGAACAUUAACUUGAAGGCAAAUUGUUUUUUCUCCAUCAAUCUUAGUAUCUUCUCAAUUGGACUUCACCCGGUCAAUUCAAACCAUAUCUUGCGCUACAUUAAGUUUUCGUCUAGCUUCUCACAGAUUUCAGGUGUCUGAAUUUUUGCUUCCCAAAUUACACACAUGUGUCUGAAUUUU